rnacentral:misc_RNA from 1 species
UCCCUGAUAAGAAGGGAAGCAUCCCUCAGUGCGUGGGGAGGAGGGGGUAUCCAGGGCCCAGUGCCCACAUACACACACUCACACCUGCUUCCUCCCCAUCCCUGCCGGUGCCAAGGCACUUCUGGUGAUGGUAGCGUCAAGUGCCUACGACGCAGCGGGGUCAGCGCGACUCCUCGCUGCCGACGUCGGCGGCCGUGGUGUGCAUGGGGCUGCUUUGGUGCGACCUGCGACAGCGAGCACGUUUGCGCCAUCCACAUGCCCGGCAACGUGCCAGCGCAACUCGAACGUAUCCCACCCGCCCACCCCACUCUCACUGCCCACCGGUGUGCAGCCUGCGAGGCGGGGGCGGGCGGAGUUGGAGACAGAGGCCGCGCUCAGGUCACUGAGUCGGUGCAUUGCCGUGACGCGUGUGUCUAGCGCUGCUUGGCAGCGUGCGAUAGGGCCCGUGACGGGCCUACAGUAGAGCUGACCUCGUCUUGUGCGGCGGAGAACGGUGAGCCUUGAAAUAAAGCAUCGUUUUAUUGUGGAUUCUUAAUCCACUCGGUCGCGACCCCCUCCCCGGCGGAUGGCCCGCGUGCGACGUUGUCCGGAGACAACCGACUUAUGUACGGCGCUAUCCUCCCCCCUCUUCCCUGCCUCCCUGCCUCCCUCCCUCCCUCCCCCUCUGCGCCGCGCCGCUGCACGCAG